AGAGUUUGAUCCUGGCUCAGAACGUACGCUGGCGGCACGCCUAACACAUGCAAGUCGAACGCAGUAGCAAUACUGAGUGGCAAACGGGUGAGUAUAAUGUGGGAAUCUGCCUUUUGGUUUGGAAUAACACGGGGAAACUUGUGCUAAUACCGAAUAAGCCCUUACGGGGAAAGUUUUAAUGCCGAAAGAUGAGCCCGCACUUGAUUAGCUAGUUGGUAAGGUAAAAGCUUACCAAGGCAACGAUCAAUAGCUGUUCUUAGAGGAAGACCAGCCACAUUGGGACUGAGACACGGCCCAGACUCCUACGGGAGGCAGCAGUGGGGAAUCUUGCACAAUGGGGGAAACCCUGAUGCAGCGAUGCCGCGUGAGUGAAGAAGGCCCUUGGGUUAUAAAGCUCUUUCGUCGGGGAAGAAAAUGACUGUACCCGAAUAAGAAGGUCCGGCUAACUUCGUGCCAGCAGCCGCGGUAAUAC
rnacentral:rRNA from 1 species